rnacentral:rRNA from 1 species
CCUGACGCAGCGACGCCGCGUGGGGGAUGACGGCCUUCGGGUUGUAAACCUCUUUCAGCAGGGACGAAGUUGACGUGUACCUGCAGAAGAAGCGCCGGCUAACUACGUGCCAGCAGCCGCGGUAAUACGUAGGGCGCAAGCGUUGUCCGGAAUUAUUGGGCGUAAAGAGCUCGUAGGUGGCUUGUCGCGUCUGCCGUGAAAGCCCAUGGCUUAACUGUGGGUCUGCGGUGGAUACGGGCUGGCUAGAGGUAGGUAGGGGCAAGCGGAAUUCCUGGUGUAGCGGUGAAAUGCGCAGAUAUCAGGAGGAACACCGGUGGCGAAGGCGGCUUGCUGGGCCUUACCUGACGCUGAGGAGCGAAAGCGUGGGGAGCGAACAGGAUUAGAUACCCUGGUAGUCCACGCUGUAAACGUUGGGCGCUAGGUGUGGGGUCCUUCCACGGAUUCCGUGC